UUGUUGCUGUUAGUUGUUUGUAGUCAUAUUUUAAUGAUCUGUUUUCUAUAUGUACACUGAUCAGCUUUUCUGCUGUUACCAUAGAAUUAGGAACGCUUAUUAGAAAAUGCACUCUAUUAUGGAAAUGUAUUAAGAAUUACACCUCUCAUGUUUUAGCAAAGAAGAUGCAGGUUACGUUUUUGUCACCGACUCAACCAUGAACCCAAACAACACACAUACUCGCUCACUCACUCUUCUAACGAGCCCAACAUAAGAGUUCAAAGACAUAUUGCACCUCUCAUUUAUAG
rnacentral:lncRNA from 1 species